AACGAACGCUGGCGGCAGGCCUAACACAUGCAAGUCGAGCGAGACCUUCGGGUCUAGCGGCGGACGGGUGAGUAACGCGUGGGAACGUGCCCUUUUCUGCGGAAUAGCCUCGGGAAACUGAGCGUAAUACCGCAUACGCCCUUUGGGGGAAAGAUUUAUCGGAAAAGGAUCGGCCCGCGUUGGAUUAGGUAGUUGGUGGGGUAAUGGCCUACCAAGCCUACGAUCCAUAGCUGGUUUGAGAGGAUGAACAGCCACACUGGGACUGAGACACGGCCCAGACUCCUACGGGAGGCAGCAGUGGGGAAUCUUAGACAAUGGGGGCAACCCUGAUCUAGCCAUGCCGCGUGAGUGAUGAAGGCCUUAGGGUUGUAAAGCUCUUUCAGCUGGGAAGAUAAUGACGGUACCAGCAGAAGAAGCCCCGGCUAACUCCGUG
rnacentral:rRNA from 1 species